rnacentral:rRNA from 1 species
AACGAACGCUGGCGGCAUGCCUAACACAUGCAAGUCGAACGAGACCUCCGGGUCUAGUGGCGCACGGGUGCGUAACGCGUGGGAACCUGCCCUUAGGUUCGGAAUAACUCCCCGAAAGGGGUGCUAAUACCGGAUAAUGUCUUCGGACCAAAGAUUUAUCGCCUUUGGAUGGGCCCGCGUUGGAUUAGCUAGUUGGUAGGGUAGAAGCCGACCAAGGCGACGAUCCAUAGCUGGUCUGAGAGGAUGAUCAGCCACACUGGGACUGAGACACGGCCCAGACUCCUACGGGAGGCAGCAGUGGGGAAUAUUGGAGAAUGGGCGAAAGCCUGAUCCAGCAAUGCCGCGUGAGUGAUGAAGGCCUUAGGGUUGUAAAGCUCUUUUGCCCGGGAUGAUAAUGACGGUACCGGGAGAAUAAGCUCCGGCUAACUCCGUG